rnacentral:rRNA from 1 species
AUUCCAAGCUUAGAGUUGCUCAGGACGAACGCUGGCGGCGUGCUUAACACAUGCAAGUCGAACGAUGAAGCCGCUUCGGUGGUGGAUUAGUGGCGAACGGGUGAGUAACACGUGGGCAAUCUGCCCUGCACUCUGGGACAAGCCCUGGAAACGGGGUCUAAUACCGGAUAUGACACGGGAUCGCAUGGUCUCCGUGUGGAAAGCUCCGGCGGUGCAGGAUCGGCCUAUCAGCUUGUUGGUGGGGUGAUGGCCUACCAAGGCGACGACGGGUAGCCGGCCUGAGAGGGCGACCGGCCACACUGGGACUGAGACACGGCCCAGACUCCUACGGGAGGGCAGUGGGGAAUAUUGCACAAUGGGCGCAAGCCUGAUGCAGCGACGCCGCGUGAGGGGCCUUCGGGUUGUAAACCUCUUUCAGCAGGGAAGAAGCGAGAGUGACGGUACCUGCAGAAGAAGCACCGGCUAACUACGUGCCAGCAGCCGCGGUAAUACGUAGGGUGCGAGCGUUGUCCGGAAUUAUUGGGCGUGAGCUCGUAGGCGGCUUGUCGCGUCGGAUGUGCCGGGGCUUAACCCCGGGUCUGCAUUCGAUACGGGCAGGCUAGAGUUCGGCAGGGGAGAUUGGAAUUCCUGGUGUAGCGGUGAAAUGCGCAGAUAUCAGGAGGAACACCGGUGGCGAAGGCGGAUCUCUGGGCCGAUACUGACGCUGAGGAGGCGUGGGG